AGGGAGGUGCAAAAGCAUGCUGAGGGGAUAUAAACUGACUGGUGACUUUGGGAUUUCGGGUUCUCCUUCUCCCCCACCGCCUGCGAAUCAAGACCCUCGCUCUCAAGCAUCGCUGGAUCCAGUGGGCGACGCUUGCCUGCGGAGUCUGCCUCGCCUGGUGUGCUCUCUUGGAACCCCCCACCAUCUCAGCAGGCCCUGGAGGAGGCGGAUUCCCCCGUGUGCUGCUGAGCCGUCCCCUUCCGUGAGCUUUAUUGAUGAGUUUAAGCCACAUCAUCCUCUGACCUAAACCAGGACUGACUAAAGAGCAGCGGCCCUUUGAGUGAAACCCAGUGUUUUGCAAUGGUUGUUUCACCAUAUUGGUCCCAGCAGGAGUGAACCAGAAGCCAGAUGAUCUCCUCUCAAACUAACCUGAACUAGAAACCAGUAAAUGUUAAUUACUCGCUUGCCAGUGGUCUUGUCCUUCCUCCUGCAGUGUUGCUCUGGAGAGCUGCUCUUCUUGCUGUGUGCUGAUCCGUGCGGGACAGGGGGUUCAAGGUGCCCUCCAGUGUGUGAACGUGUCCAAUGGGCUUCUGAGGGACUGCUGUAGGUUAAUUCAAGCCAGCUGAAUUCUGUUAAUUGUAUUUUUCUGUCUGAGUAGUUUUACUUAACAUGAGAAGCUAAAGUUGCUGAAGCCUUAGGCUGAAUUUAUCUUAACCCUUACCUUUGGCUGAACUUAAUUUGUCUUGAGCUCUUAGUUAUGUAAACUGGAAGUUAUGAAGUCACAACCAGAUCAAAACAGCUACUGGCCCACUGGGAGAGAGAGAAAGAAUCUACUAAGGUGUGAGAAGACCCCAGACCAAAAAUCACCAUUGAACCAAGAGCUGUGUGCAGGGUGUGAGAAGCAGGUGAGGGUGGGGUGCAGGGACUGUCAGGGUAUAACAGGCCAGGGAUUCCUUUGUUUGGGGUCCCUCCUCGGAGGCACCCAUCUCCAGCUGUUCCUACCACUGUAGCACUUGAAUUGGGCUUAAAGCUUGAGACUCUGCUGCAGGGUACCUGGGGAAUACAGAGAAAGUUCUGUAACAGUGACCUCACCUGCAUCCUCACAAAGUCCAAAGUCCCUCCUGGACGGAGCCAGCAGUGCUGAACCAGAAGGUACAGGGUGAGGUGCAGGUGUGUGGGAUGUCACGUGUCCAGCAGAGCCUCAGAUGAAACCAGGGAUAUGUCCAGAGCCAGACCUCACUGCACUGGGGCCAGGCAGGUGGGACCAAGCCUCACCCUGACCACCCCACAGUCUCGAGCUGGCUCCCAGCAGGAUGAGGUGUCAGUCAUCUGGGGCAUUUCAGAAGAGAGAUCUGGUUCUUGAGAGCAGGUCCUGGGAAGGACAUGGCUCGCCAGGCACCCUUCAGGUCUUCCUGGUAGCAGCACACUCAGACAAGAUGCUCAGAAGGCUCCGACCUCAUCCCUGUGGGCACAUGUGAGUGUCUGGGACAGCAGUAGGGAGCUGGGCAUUAAUACAUGCCUUCAGUGAGCCCUGUCCCCAGGUCCCAGACAAAGCAGUCAGGUUUUUAGAUCACGUCUUUGAACAUCCUACUGCCCAAAGCUAGUGGAAAGCAAUCCUGUUAUCGUUUACUUUAAACAGGCAUUUUGGAGAGUGUCUAGAGCUUUAGGGAUGUCUGCUUUCAUUUGUGAAGGAAAUAAUGGUGUUUUUCUCCAGAAUGCAUUUUGGCUUGUCAGUAAACAUCACAGUGGCAUCAGCCUGCUCUUGCCCCAAGUUGAGAACAGCACUGUGCAGCUUGUGAUGUGAUGUUCAUGCAGCUCAUUUGGAGUAGUCUGAGAAAGCGUUAAAAUGCAGUUCAAAUGGUACCAGCAGAAACUAUUUUAAUAAAAAUUUCUAGUGUUUUUAGUCAUCACUGUGUCAUGGGAUGAUGAUUAGGGCAAUGGGGUGGAAUUCAGGGAAGAGGUGCCAAGAGGAAGAAUCUGGAUUAUCCCAUUCCAUCUGAAAAACCAUCAGCACAAAACACAGCUUUUGGGACUUUGCUAUGGAUCAAAAAAC